GACAGAGGGGGCAAGCGUUGCUCGGAAUUACUGGGCGUAAAGGGCGCGUAGGCGGGAUGGCAAGUCGGUCGUGAAAUCCCUCGGCUCAACCGAGGAACGUCGAUCGAUACUGCUGUUCUUGAGGAUUGCAGAGGAGACUGGAAUUCCCGGUGUAGCGGUGAAAUGUGUAGAGAUCGGGAGGAACACCAGUGGCGAAGGCGACUUCCUGGCCUGUUCUUGACGCUGAGGCGCGAAAGCUAGGGGAGCAAACGGG
rnacentral:rRNA from 1 species